rnacentral:rRNA from 1 species
CCUACCGCAAACCGACACUGGUGCGCGAGAUGAGUAUUCUAAGGCGCUUGAGAGAACUCAGGAGAAGGAACUCGGCAAAUUGACACCGUAACUUCGGAAGAAGGUGUGCCUUGAGUAGGUGAGCUUGUACAAAGUGAGCCCAAAGAGGUUGCAAAAAAUAGGUGGCUGCGACUGUUUAUUAAAAACACAGCACUCUGCAAACACGAAAGUGGACGUAUAGGGUGUGACGCCUGCCCGGUGCUGGAAGAUUAAAUGAUGGGGUGCAAGCUCUUGAUUGAAGUCCCAGUAAACGGCGGCCGUAACAAUAACGGUCCUAAGGUAGCGAAAUUCCUUGUCGGGUAAGUUCCGACCUGCACGAAUGGCGUAACGAUGGCCACACUGUCUCCUCCUGAGACUCAGCGAAGUUGAAAUGUUUGUGAUGAUGCAAUCUCCCCGCGGAAAGACGGAAAGACCCCAUGAACCUUUACUGUAGCUUUGUAUUGGACUUUGAACAGAUCUGUGUAGGAUAGGUGGGAGGCUUUGAAGCAGGGUCGCUAGAUCUUGUGGAGCCAACGUUGAAAUACCACCCUGGUGUGUUUGAGGUUCUAACCUAGGUCCAUUAUCUGGAUCGGGGACAGUGCAUGGUAGGCAGUUUGACUGGGGCGGUCUCCUCCCAAAGCGUAACGGAGGAGUUCGAAGGUACGCUAGUUACGGUCGGACAUCGUGACGAUAGUGCAAUGGCAUAAGCGUGCUUAACUGCGAGACUGACAAGUCGAGCAGAUGCGAAAGCAGGACAUAGUGAUCCGGUGGUUCUGUAUGGAAGGGCCAUCGCUCAACGGAUAAAAGGUACUCUGGGGAUAACAGGCUGAUACCGCCCAAGAGUUCAUAUCGACGGCGGUGUUUGGCACCUCGAUGUCGGCUCAUCUCAUCCUGGGGCUGUAGCCGGUCCCAAGGGUAUGGCUGUUCGCCAUUUAAAGAGGUACGUGAGCUGGGUUUAAAACGUCGUGAGACAGUUUGGUCCCUAUCUUCCGUGGGCGCUGCAGAUUCGAGGAAGCCUGCUCCUAGUACGAGAGGACCGGAGUGGACACACCUCUGGUGUAUCGGUUGUCACGCCAGUGGCAUUGCCGAGUAGCUAAGUGUGGAAGAGAUAAACGCUGAAAGCAUCUAAGCGUGAAACUCGUUUCAAGAUGAGAUCUGCCGGGGCCUUGAGCCCCCUAAAGAGUCGUUCAAGACCAGGACGUUGAUAGGUCAGGUGUGGAAGCGCAGUAAUGCGUUAGGCUAACUGAUACUAAUUGCUCGUGCGGCUUGACCCU